AUUAUGUCAGUUUUCUCAUGAUCAAUUUUAUUCUUUCCUCUUGUUUCCAUGUGUCGGCUUUCUCAUGACCAAAUCACGUUGUGUGUGACCAGACGCUGAUGAAUACAGUAACAUCAAGAUGGCCCAAAGAAUGUAUUUUCAUCAUCGGAGAAAAAAAUCCCAAUCUUAAUCCAUCAAGUUCCUUGGCAUACUUCUCCAUGAAUCCGAAAGCCAUCGUAAUAGCCGUCCUGUUACAUUACAUUUAACAAACCUCAAAGUUCACGAAGCAAGUAUGAAGAAACUCAGUACUUUCAUGGUCUAAGAAAUUAUGCAAGCAUUGAUUUCCUUUGUUAUAAAACAAUUAACUCGCCACAAAUGUAUUUUAUAGCAUAACAUCAAUAUGGGUCAAUUCGACACAAGUGUUAUUACAACAUUGUGUCCUCAAAAUUACCGGGAUAGUCAUGUUCAUGAUUAAGAAAACAUGACCAUCAUGCAACAUUCGAGCUAUGCACACGUUAUUUCUCUCUGUUAUAAAACAAUUAACUCAUGACAAAUGUAUUUUAUAGCAUAACAUUAGUAUAGGUCGAUUCAACACAAGUGUUCUUACAACAUUGUGCCCAUAAAAUUACCGGCAUACUCAUAUGCCCUUGAUUAGGAAAAUAUGAUCAUCAUGCAACAAUUGAGCUAGCCUUAUAGACACGACUAAAAUGUAUUUUAUCGUUUAUUAUUUCACACAUGCACAUGGGGUUUCCUCUAAUUUAUUAUGAAUAUAUGGGUUCAAGAAGCAUUGCAGUUUUAACAUAGAACAAACAUUAAUUACAAACUUGCAGGUAGAUAAUAAUAUUAGUUAGUAUUGGUUGUAGGGCAUCUCCUACAAUUUUUUUCGAAAUGAAAGUUAUCCUGCAUUCAUUAAUAAGAAAAGAGUUGCUUAGUUAAUUAGGGAAAACCGAGUGAAAACCAGGUUGUCGAGUUAAUUAUGGAAAACCGGGAAAAAACCGUGACAAUCGUUGAGCCUCACACAAAAAGAGCCCACACAUACUACUUCAAAGAGGGUCUCGGUGAGACAGCACACACGCGUCAUCGUCAUCACUCCUCCCCUAGAGGCGUCCUCGCCAUCCCUACACUCUGAGCAAACGACUCCGACUCCGCUGUAGGCGAUCUCGACUCAACCCACACUGAAGAGGACACGUGAAGCUGCAUGAAGAUCUAUGCCAAAAUCCCAACCACCCGUGUCCAGAGGAUGUAACUCCGACUUUAACGAAGAGUUCUGAAGGACAAAACCAGGCACGGCUGGCGCCACGGGAGAUCGCCAAAUGGUGUACCUGCAGCCAGUCACUGUAUACCACAGGGCCCCGCCGCCGCAGCUUCGACUCCAUAACAACAAACAAACCGAGACAAAACCGUGGACACGCCGAAGAAGAGGCGACUAUCGCAACCAUUGCCGCGUUGCCCACAUAACUCCCACCAUCAUCGUUGCCACAAAAGCUUGGAUGCCACACUCGCCGCCAACUGCCAUCUACCGGUCCUACUCGCCGACGCCAAGCUCCUAAGACAAAGCCCUCAACAGGGAAUACAACACCAAGGUGCCGCCAUCGUUCGAUCACAUAUCAAAUUUCCCCUGGAGAGGCCGAACUGGCUAGAUCCACACAUGAGGGGUGGGAGAACGAAGCAACGAUGCCUCCAAGAAGGUCAACAACGACCACAACCGCUGCCAUCCCUGGUCACGACACAAGGCCAAGACUUGGUUUUCACCCAGCUAUACACCACCUCAAUCGAACAUCAUCCCGCAUUGGCGUUGGCAAGCCCACCAAACAUCACCACCAUCGAAGCUACCCAUCGACGAAGAAGCAUCAGGAUCCAUCACAGCCAGCCGCACCACGCGGCGACAACCAACAGCCGGAGACCAGAUUUUCAUGACACGCCACCGGAGCGCACUUCCUCAAAACCAUGGGCCUCCGAUCCGUGCAUUCCACGGUCGUUCACGCGAUGCCACACCGCACAGACACACACCGGCCAUGCCCCUCGCGGCCGAAGCCGUUGCUCGAGCGCCAAACAAGCCGCUUAAGCCCCUCCACCCGCAUUCCUCCACCACGCCGGAUUGUCGCGCUGACGGAGGAGCAUCAACCCUCCCUCACGCCGUCACAAGGCCUCAUGGCAACACCUCCACGCCACCGGACCUCCGAAGCCGCGGACCGAGCGCCGUAUAGGCCGCUGGAGCCCCUCCAGCAUGCGCCCCACAGGAGCAGCAAUACCACGACGGCUCGACCCUCCCGCCGUAGAUCCACGCUGCCCGAACCUCGUGCGCGCGUGCCAGACGAGCAACCAUGCCAGGCCUCACUUGAGCCGAAGCUCCCCACUCCCGCGCUGCCCCACUCCCUAGCACAGAUCCGCCGCGGCCGCCCCUCGCAUAUCGACCUGGAGCCAUGCUCCCGUGCAGCGCCGCGCUAGAUCUGUCGCGCCAUCACAUCACCAGAUCUACUGUCCCCCCCCGUGCUUCUCGCCAGCCACCCGCGCCACCACCGCAGCAUCGGAUCCACCAAGCCCCACUGCGCCCCCGCACCGCCAGGCCGUCACGAGAUCAGGCCCUCCACGCUGCGACCUGAGAACUCCGCAAGGCCGAGCCGCCUCGCGCCGCUUGCCUAGCAAAAGGGAGGAGAGCCCCGCCGCCGCCUGCGUCGCGCGCGCUUUGCCGAUGACGCACUCCGACGACGGCGAGGGGGGAGGGAGGAGUAGGUGGCCGGCGACGGCGAUCUUGUGUGCGCCCGGGACACUUGCACGGAGCGUCACGGGGCCAGGCCUGAUCAGAGGACAAUGGCUGGUUCUCCUACAAACUUUUCAAACCCAAGCGUGGGUCCAACCUAAAGCACAUGAACAACGACAUUUUCUAAUUAAAUUAAUUAUAUUAAAGAUAUUAAAAUGAUACAAUAUACCUAUAUUUCAAAU
rnacentral:lncRNA from 1 species